UUCGAUCUAACCAAAUUUGAACAUAAUACCCAAAUAAAAAGGAAUAGAAAACAAAUGAAAUUACGACCAUCACCUGUUACUUUGCCGCUAUUGCCUUCCAAUGAUACUCAUAGAUUUACCCACAAAUGUUAGUGAAUUGAAAAAUUAAGAGUGUGAAAGUAAUUGAGCAGCAACCAAGAAACAGGGGAAAAUGAAGGGAAAAAAAAGGAGGUAUGAGCAAGAUUGAUUGAAAAAACAUNNNN
rnacentral:lncRNA from 1 species